ensembl:lncRNA
CCAGACUGAAAUUCCUAAGGAGACCUGUUAACCCCUCUGGUCUUCACAGGACGUAUCCUUACUCCCCAGAAUGGCACAGAGAAUGCCUUCCAAUGCAUAUAUGCACCAAAAUGAACUCAAAAAAGACUUCUAAAUGGAUAUCAGUCCAUUGCUCAACUCCAUAUCAUACAUGUAACCCCCACAUUUGAUUAUAAUGUUUCUAAUCACUUAUUGUGUAUGUCUUUUUAAAUAACUCUUGAAUAGCUUAAGGGAUCAUAUUCAUGUUUAGUAUGUGUGUGUUCGAAUAUUCUUGCUUGAAACGUUUCUGACCAUCAGUUAUUUGUCAAAUGUAUCAUAUUCUUGUUAUAGGAAUCAUGUCCAAAUUAUACCCUGCAAGAGCGGGAAAAUUCGGACCACAAGCUUGAUAAGAUAACAUGAUUUAUGAAUGGGUGGGACAAACAUCGGAACACCCUGAGAAAAGACAAUAUCUAAUUGGUCAAGACAACAUUUGAGGUGUGGCCAAAAGGCCAGUUUAAAUACUCAGGACACCAUCAAAUUAUGCUUUUAGCUUUUAGCUUUGCUUGUAGUUUAAGCUUUUAGUCAUGCUUUUAGCUUUUAGCUUUCGUUUAGCUUUUGCUAUCAGUCAUGCCGGCUUUUAGCCUGCUCCUAGCUUUAGCUUUUAGCUUUAGCUUUUAGUCAUGCUUUGUCAUCACUUUUAGCGUUCUUCGAGCGCCGUUCCAGCGUGCUUCGGCCUGCACGCCUGCUGCUACUUAGCCACGAUGAGAAGAAACACCACCUAGUCUCGUCAAACUUUACUUCUGUUCUUUUCCGUUUGAGAGUUUCGUGUUCUGAGUUAAGUUUUGUAACGCCGUGUCUCCGAGUCUGACCUCGAGUGCCCGUUCAACUUCAACCAGCCCACAACUCCGCAUCUUCAGCCAACGCCCAACCACGGGCUUCCCAAGACGUCACUUCAACGACUACUGAACUUCCAGCCAAUCAGCAACCUCGGGAAACCCCCUUUUCAGCGACAACAAAGGGAACCCCGUUACACAGGCAUCACAAUUUUAGCAUCUCAUCCAACGCUGAGAUCAAUUUAAUAGAGAUACGUGUUGAACAACUGUCGCCUUCGCAGCCUCCCUGGUGAGCGGUCCAACUGUAAGGUGUACGGUGUCAAUCCUGUCAGACUAAGGAAAGAAAUAUCAGCAUUAUUAUUGUAUUCUUUUGUCCAAAACAAAAGAUUUAAUAAUAAUGUUUACCUUCUUGAUAACAUUUAAUUGGGAAAAUUAAUUUUCCUCAUUUGAAAAACAGAAAUUGUUGCUUGUCAUUGAAUUUGUUUUUCACCUCUUUCUCUCUUUUCCUCUUCCUCAUUAGAGUGACAAAGUCUUCGCAUCUCUAGUCUACUUACAGGGUUUUUCCUACAUUGAAAUUUUUUUGGCGGCCGCCAAAACGAUUUUUUUUGUCCCGCCA